rnacentral:rRNA from 1 species
AGAGUUUGAUCCUGGCUCAGGAUGAACGCUGGCGGCGUGCCUAAUACAUGCAAGUCGAGCGGUGCUACUUCGGUAGCAUAGCGGCGAACGGGUGAGUAACACGUGGGCAACCUGCCCUUAAGACGGGGAUAACUCCGGGAAACCGGAGCUAAUACCCGAUAAUCUUCCUUCUCGCAUGAGAGAGAAGUAAAAGGCUUCGGCCACUUAGGGAUGGGCCCGCGGUGCAUUAGCUUGUUGGUGGGGUAACGGCCUACCAAGGCAACGAUGCAUAGCCGACCUGAGAGGGUGACCGGCCACACUGGGACUGAGACACGGCCCAGACUCCUACGGGAGGCGAC